UUAGCUCAUAUUUGUAUGGAAUGGGAUCGAUUGCGUACGUUCGCCGCUAGGGGCGCUGUUCCAACUGCAUACAAAAAUGGCUUA
rnacentral:pre_miRNA from 1 species